AUGCGGGCAGGUCUUUCCUGGGCUGUUCUUGUGAUAGUGAAUAAGUCUCAUGAGAUUUGGUGGUUCUAUAAGGGGGAGUUUCCCAGCACAAGUUCUUUCUCUUGCUGCCACCAUGUGGGACAUGCCUUUCACCUUCUGUCACGAUUGCGAGACCUCUCCAGACUUGUGCAAAUUUGGUACCCUUCAGUGUGUGCUAUGGGGGCUCUACCAGAGAGAUUACCACAGCUGGACCUGUUGUGUUCCUGAUCCCCAAAGGGCAUUUCCAUGUAACUCUAGAAGAUGAGAAGGAUCUGAAAGGAGACUUUCAAGUCUUUGGGAUAAUCCAGUGUAAUUCCUUCAUUUUAUAGAUGAGAAAAUUAUAGCCACAUCUCCCACACAGGAAUGAUAGCAUUUGCAAUGGCAUUGUCUGCAACAUAAAAGGGAAAUGCAUUAACAGAUCUUCAAGUGGAAUGGAAGGCCAUUUAGCCAUCUCAGAGACAUGGAUUUCUUGGGAUGCAUUCUUUCAUCCAGACUCCAAACUUCAUUUACUUGAGCUCAUUUGAUUUCUAAUUUCUUGUUGGUGUCACCCUUUGCAACUCAAGCCUUACAGAACCUUUAUUUCUGUCUAAAAUGUAUUAUAUUAUUGGUUUAUCUUAUCUUUGAUUAUUUGAACCACUGUAUGAAAUUGAAGUGCUAUUUUAUAUAUAUUAAGAGAAAGGAGAGUAGGGAGAGGGAGAAAGAAAGGAAGGCGCAGGGAGAGGUGUUAAACACUAAGAUAAGUGACAAAAAUAAUAGCAUGCCUAUUCUUUCUAAUUCCUCAGGCAUGUACUAAGCACUAGUCAAGGCCAUGCAGGUGGAUGCAAAGAUAAAUAGACAAGGGUGUGUUUCUUGCUUUUGUGUCACAAAAUUAAAAUGUAUAAAAUGAAAUCUUUUUUUGACCCCCCUUUUUCCACCUGACCACCAAAUCUUUUGCUUGUGCCUCCUCCAUCUUAGUAAAAUAGACAAUUCUCUGGCUAGCUACACCAGCUACAAACCAGGAAGGGAUCCUUGGUUCCAACCUCUCCCUCACCACCAUUCCAAACUCAGCCAAUCAUCAUUCCUGAUACGGUUGGAUGGGUGUCCCCACCAAACCUCGCACUGAAAUGUGAUCUCCAGUGUUGGAGGUCGGACCUGGUGGGAGGUGUUGGAUCAUGGGGGUGAAUUUCUUAUCAAUGGCUUGUUGCCAUCCCCUCAGUGAGGAGUGCAUACUUGCUGUGUUAGUUCAUGUGAGAGCUGGUUGUUUGGAAGGAACCUGGCACCUCCCCCUCCCUCCUGGCUCCCUCUCUCACUAUGUGAUACGCCUGCUUCCUCUUCAUCUUUGGCCAUGAUUGGAAGCUCCCUGAGGCCUCAUUGAAAGCCAAGCAGAUUCGGGUGCCAUGCUUGUACAGCCUGCAGAAAUGUGAGCCAAAAUAAACCUCUUGUCUUUAUGAAUGACUCAGCCUCACUUAUUCCUUUACAGUGACACAAAACAGACUGACAUAAUUCCUGAGUUUCUGUCUUUGAAACACAGCUCAUCUGUCUCCAUUUCUCUCCAUCUGUACUGCCACUAUGAUGGGUUGAUGCCAGUAACUCCAACACUUUCAAUGACUUAGUGUCACAUUCCCUCCUCUAUCAUCCAUUCUUCACAAAGCAGUGAGCAUGAUUAUGUUACCUCCCGGUCAAAGUCUUGCAUUGCAGUUU
ensembl:lncRNA